ensembl:lncRNA
CUUCCCUUCGCCAUGUCUCCUCCAGUCUCUCCUCUAAACUCUAUAAACUACAAUUAAAGCCCCGAAAUCCAAGCUUCCUUCCAGCCGGUUACCUGCAGGACAACUUCCGGGUUCAUGUCCGCUGUCUCCGCCCACAAGAGAGACGCCAUAAUGACUCUUGCAGCCCCAGCGCCGUUUGCCAGUGAGGUCCUUUUCCUCCACACUGACAGGGCAGGGAGCUGUGGUUGCUGCUGAAGGGCCGAGGGGACCAUGUGGCGAGGCGUCCAUCUGGGGUAACCUGAGUAAACGCAGGUGACAGACUGAACUCUCACCACCAUCUGCUAAAAAGUCUCCCUAAACUUGACCCCUCUGCCCCGAGGGGUUGCCUGACCUCUGCUGGCAGAUCCAGCCCGCUGGACCAUCCAGAGAACAGAGGCCCGGGCAUGAGUCAACCUGACAUGACUCGAGGAUUCGGUGAUUUAUCGCAUCUCAGUCUGGAGAAUCACAACCUGCAUUCAGCAGUGUCGAAACAAAAGCAGAAGGAAUACAGAGGGUGACGGGGGAGGACAUUAACAGCCCAUAAAUCUGCCAGAGAGGUCCACAAGUGUUCUG